AUUGAACGCUGGCGGCAUGCCUUACACAUGCAAGUCGAACGGUAACGGGCCUUCGGGUGCCGACGAGUGGCGAACGGGUGAGUAAUGUAUCGGAACGUACCUUUCAGUGGGGGAUAACGUAGCGAAAGUUACGCUAAUACCGCAUAUUCUGUGCGCAGGAAAGCAGGGGAUCGCAAGACCUUGCGCUGAUUGAGCGGCCGAUAUCAGAUUAGCUAGUUGGUGAGGUAAAGGCUCACCAAGGCGACGAUCUGUAGCGGGUCUGAGAGGAUGAUCCGCCACACUGGAACUGAGACACGGUCCAGACUCCUACGGGAGGCAGCAGUGGGGAAUUUUGGACAAUGGGCGCAAGCCUGAUCCAGCAAUGCCGCGUGCAGGAUGAAGGCCUUCGGUUGUAAACUGCUUUGUACGGAACGAACGGUGAGCUCUAAUAAAGCUUGCUAAUGACGGUACCGUAAGAAUAAGCACCGGCUAACUACGUGCCAGC
rnacentral:rRNA from 1 species